CCUACGGGGGGCUGCAGUCGAGAAUCUUUCGCAAUGGGCGCAAGCCUGACGAAGCGACGCCGUGUGGAUGAUGACAGCUUUCGGGUUGUAAAGUCCUUUCGCUUGGGAACAAGAGACAUUAGCUAAUAACUAAUUAUUUGAGGGUACCAGGUAAAGAAGCACCGGCAAACUCCGUGCCAGCAGCUGCGGUAAUACGGAGGGUGCAAGCAUUAAUCGGAUUUAUUGGGCGUAAAGGGCGCGUAGGCGGAUGGCCAAGUCAGAUGUGAAAUUUUGAU
rnacentral:rRNA from 1 species